ACGGACUCUUCCGGUGAUCUGAUCGAAUCGGAAUCCUGGUGAGUUUCCAGUUUGAACCAUUACUCCCCAUGCAUCGUCAGCGUACUGCUUGAAAUUGCUUAAAUCGGAGAUAACCUCAUCUUGGAAGUUGCUAAUAUCGGUCAUCACAUGGAUGGCCGAGAAAAUAGCAGUAAGAGCUGCCAAGGCAGAUGCGCUUGUUACGACGAAUAGAAGAACUUGGACGUG
ensembl:ncRNA ZK863.10 ncRNA